rnacentral:rRNA from 1 species
AUGUCAGUGACAUUGUGUCAGCAGCCGCGCGGUAAUACAGAGACCUCAAGCGUUAUCCGGAUUUAUUGGGCGUAAAGCGUCCGCAGGUGGUUCGGCAAGUCAGGGGUCAAAAUUCAGAGCUUAACUCUGAAAUCGCCUUUGAUACUAUCGAACUUGAGACUGGAAGAGGUGAGCGGAAUUCUCGGUGUAGUCGUAAUAAGCGUUGAUAUCGAGAAGAACACCAAAUGCGAAGGCAGCUCACUGGUACAGUUCUGACACUCAGGGACGAAAGCGUGGGGAGCAAACAGGAUUAGAUACCCUGGUGGUCCACGCCCUAAACUAUGUGCACUAGGUAUUGGCAGUAUCGACCCUGUCAGUGCCGUUUAAAAAAGCUAACGCGUUAAGUGCACCGCCUGGGGAGUACGGCCGCAAGGCUAAAACUCAAAGAAAUAGACGGGGACCCGCACAAGCGGUGGAGCAUGUGGUUUAAUUCGACGGUAAACGGGGAACCUUACCAGGGCUCAACUACUAGCUGCAAGCCACCAGAAACGGUGGCCGCCUUCGAGGGUGCUAGAUAGGUGCUGCAUGGUUGCCGUCAGCUCGUGCCGUGAGGUGUACCAUUAAGUUGGGAAACGAGCGCAACCCACGUCGUGUGUUAAAUCUACACACGAGACUGCCCGGCUCUUAGGGAGGAAAGGGGUGGACGACGUCAAAUCAGCAUGGCUCUUACGUCCUGGGCCACACACAUGCUACAAUGGCACGUACAAUGGGUUGCCAAGUCGCGAGACGGAGCUAAUCCCAUCAAAACGUGCCUCAGUCAGAUGAAGCUGCAACUCGCUCAUGAGCGAUCGCUAGUAACGCAUAUCAGCACGUGCGUGAUACGUCUCGGGUCUGCACACACGCGUCAAAUCGUCGACUGCAGCAUGCAGGCUUGCACUGACGGUCGGUUACACCGUCCUUGACUGAAAGCUGCCGUUAACGACUAAUCGCGUGCAGCAAUCGCAAUGCGACUGGCUAUAGCGAAGCGGACGGAUGGACCGUCCAACAGAUGC